CUUCAUUUACAGCAACAGGAAUCAUUUGAAUUCUUUGAGAUGGGACGAGGCAGAGUUUUGAGUUACUUUGCUCUCGCGAUGUUCAUUCAAUAUUCCUGCAGUCAGACACUGAUCGAGUCUGAAUCAGUGAUCAUCAAACCUGAUCAGUCUCAUAAACUGACCUGCACAGCUUCUGGAUUUAACUUUGGGAGCUACUGGAUGGCUUGGAUCAGACAGGCUCCUGGAAAAGGGCUGGAAUUUGUUGCAACUAUGUAUGAUAGUGCUAACAAGUAUUUCUCCAGUGCAGUUAAUGGCCGCUUCACCAUCUCCAGAGACAACAGUCAGAAGCAGGUGUAUCUGCACAUGAACAGCGUGAGGACAGAAGACACAGCUGUGUAUUACUGCUGGGCGUGA